ACGAACGCUGGCGGCGUGCUUAACACAUGCAAGUCGAACGGAAAGGCCUGCUUUCCCUUGUGGAUUGCGGGUACUCGAGUGGCGAACGGGUGAGUAACACGUGAGUGAUCUGCCCCCAACUUGCGUAUAAGCCUGGGAAACUGGGUCUAAUUCCCGAUAGGACUGCAGGGUGGUGCCUGUGGUGGAAAACGAUUUUCUAGUGGUUGGGGAUGAGCUCGCGGCCUAUCAGCUUGUUGGUGGGGUAAUGGCCUACCAAGGCGGCGACGGGUAGCCGGCCUGAGAGGGUGGACGGCCACAUUGGGACUGAGAUACGGCCCAGACUCCUACGGGAGGCAGCAGUGGGGAAUAUUGCACAAUGGGCGGAAGCCUGAUGCAGCGACGCCGCGUGGGGGAUGACGGCCUUCGGGUUGUAAACUCCUUUCGACCGCGAGGAAGCCACCUGGUUGGAAGGGUGGUGACGGUAGUGGUAGAAGAAGCACCGGCUAACUACGUG
rnacentral:rRNA from 1 species